AUUGAACGCUGGCGGCAGGCCUAACACAUGCAAGUCGAGCGGAGCGGCGGACGGGUGAGUAAUGCUUAGGAAUCUGCCUGGUAGUGGGGGAUAACGUCCGGAAACGGGCACUAAUACCGCAUACUAUCAGAUGAGCCUAGGUCGGAUUUGCUAGUUGGUGGGGGAAAGGCCUACAAAGGCGACGAUCCGUAACUGGUCUGAGAGGAUGAUCAUGCACACUGGAACUGAGACACGGUCCAGACUCCUACGGGAGGCAGCAGUGGGGAAUAUUGGACAAUGGGCGAAAGCCUGAUCCAGCCAUGCCGCGUGUGUGAAGAAGGUCUUCGGAUUGUAAAGCACUUUAAGUUGGGAGGCGUUACCAACAGAAGAAGCACCGGCUAACUUCGUGCCAGCCGCCGCGGUAAUUC
rnacentral:rRNA from 1 species